GAAAUGCGAUAGGUAAUGUGAAUUGCAGAAUUCAGUGAAUCAUCGAAUCUUUGAACGCACCUUGCGCUCCUUGGUAUUCCUUGGAGCAUGCCUGUUUGAGUAUCAUGAAAUCUUCAAAGUAAAUCUUUUGUUAACUCAAUUGGUUUCUACUUUGGUAUUGGAGGUCUUUGCAGCUUCACACCUGCUCCUCUUUGUUCAUUAGCUGGAUCUCAGUGUUAUGCUUGGUUCCACUCGGCGUGAUAAGUUAUCUAUCGCUGAGGACACUGUAAAAGGUGGCCAAGGUAAAUGCAGAUGAACCGCUUCUAAUAGUCCAUUGACUUGGACAAUACUUUUAUGAUCUGAUCUCAAAUCAGGUAGGACUACCCGCUGAACUUAAGCA
rnacentral:misc_RNA from 1 species